GGUGGCGGAUGGGCAUGCGGCGCAUUAGCUAGACGGCGGGGUGACGGCCCACCGUGGCGACGAUGCGUAGGGGUUCUGAGAGGAAGGCCCCCCACACUGGGACUGAGACACGGCCCAGACUCCUACGGGAGGCAGCAGUGAGGAAUAUUGGUCAAUGGGCGGAAGCCUGAACCAGCCAAGUCGCGUGAGGGAUUAAGGCCCUGCGGGUCGUAAACCUCUUUUGCCGGGGAGCAGUGGUCCGGACGCGUCCGGGCCGGGAGAGUACCCGGAGAAAAAGCAUCGGCUAACUCCGUGCCAGCAGCCGCGGUAAUACGGAGGAUGCGAGCGUUAUCCGGAUUUAUUGGGUUUAAAGGGUGCGUAGGCGGGCAUUUAAGCCGGCGGUCAAAUGUCGGGGCUCAACCCCGGCCUGCCGUCGGAACUGGGUGCCUUGAGUGGGCGAGAAGUAUGCGGAAUGCGUGGUGUAGCGGUGAAAUGCAUAGAUAUCACGCAGAACCCCGAUUGCGAAGGCAGCAUACCGGCGCCCUACUGACGCUGAGGCACGAAAGUGCGGGUAUCGAACAGGAUUAGAUACCCUGGUAGUCCGCACAGUAAACGAUGGAUGCUAUCUGUCCGGGCCGAAUGAGGCCUGGGUGGC
rnacentral:rRNA from 1 species